GAGGGUAUAGCACAGUGGUAGAGCUUGUGCUUAGCAUGCACGAGGUCCUGGGUUCAACUCCCUGUACAUACC
rnacentral:tRNA from 1 species